rnacentral:rRNA from 1 species
GAUGAACGCUGGCGGCGUGCCUAAUACAUGCAAGUCGAGCGAACAGACGAGGAGCUUGCUCCUCUGACGUUAGCGGCGGACGGGUGAGUAACACGUGGAUAACCUACCUAUAAGACUGGGAUAACUUCGGGAAACCGGAGCUAAUACCGGAUAAUAUAUUGAACCGCAUGGUUCAAUAGUGAAAGACGGUUUUGCUGUCACUUAUAGAUGGAUCCGCGCCGCAUUAGCUAGUUGGUAAGGUAACGGCUUACCAAGGCGACGAUGCGUAGCCGACCUGAGAGGGGGAUCGGCCACACUGGAACUGGGACACGGGCCAGGCUCCUACGGGAGGCAGCAGUAGGGAAGCUUCCGCAAUGGGGGGAAGCCUGACGGAGCAACGCCGCGUGAGUGAUGGAGGUCUUCGGAUCGGAAAACUCUGUUAUUAGGGAAAAACAAAUUUGUAAGUAACUAUGGACGGCUUGACGGUACCUAAUCAAAAAGCCACGGCUAACUACGUG